rnacentral:rRNA from 1 species
UCGACGGUCCAGCACUCAAUGCAAAUUGAGUGCUGGAUAGUGGCGGACGGGUGAGUAACGCGUGGGUAACCUACCCAUAAACUCGGGACAACCCUUGGAAACGAGGGCUAAUACCGAAUAAUCUUAAAGUGCGGCAUCGCAAUUUAAGGAAAGGUGGCCUCUGAACAUGCUACCGAUUAUGGAUGGACCCGCGUCUGAUUAGCUAGUUGGUGGGGUAAAGGCCUACCAAGGCAACGAUCAGUAGCCGGCCUGAGAGGGUGAACGGCCACACUGGGACUGAGACACGGCCCAGACUCCUACGGGAGGCAGCAGUGGGGAAUCUUCCGCAAUGGACGAAAGUCUGACGGAGCAACGCCGCGUGUAUGAUGAAGGUCUUCGGAUUGUAAAGUACUGUCUUUGGGGAAGAAUGGUGUAUUUGAAAAUAUUGAAUACAAAUGACGGUACCCAAAGAGGAAGCCCCGGCUAACUACGUGCCAGCAGCCGCGGUAAUACGUAGGGGGCAAGCGUUGUCCGGAAUUAUUGGGCGUAAAGGGCGCGUAGGCGGAUAGUUAAGUCCGGUGUGAAAGAUCAGGGCUCAACCCUGAGAGUGCAUCGGAAACUGGUUAUCUUGAGGACAGGAGAGGAAAGUGGAAUUCCACGUGUAGCGGUGAAAUGCGUAGAUAUGUGGAGGAACACCAGUGGCGAAGGCGACUUUCUGGACUGUAACUGACGCUGAGGCGCGAAAGCGUGGGGAGCAAACAGGAUUAGAUACCCUGGUAGUCCACGCUGUAAACGAUGAGUGCUAGGUGUAGGAGGUAUCGACCCCCCCUGUGCCGCAGUUAACACAAUAAGCACUC